GAUGAACGCUGGCGGCAGGCCUAACACAUGCAAGUCGAGCGGCAGCGGGACCUUCGGGUUGCCGGCGAGCGGCGGACGGGUGAGUAAUGCCUAGGAAUCUGCCUGUUAGUGGGGGAUAACGCGGGGAAACUCGCGCUAAUACCGCAUACGUCCUACGGGAGAAAGCGGGGGCUCUUCGGACCUCGCGCUAACAGAUGAGCCUAGGUCGGAUUAGCUAGUUGGUGGGGUAAUGGCUCACCAAGGCGACGAUCCGUAACUGGUCUGAGAGGAUGAUCAGUCACACUGGAACUGAGACACGGUCCAGACUCCUACGGGAGGCAGCAGUGGGGAAUAUUGGACAGUGGGCGAAAGCCUGAUCCAGCCAUGCCGCGUGUGUGAAGAAGGUCUUCGGAUUGUAAAGCACUUUAAGUCGGGAGGAAGGGCUGUAGGCUAAUACCUUGCAGUUUUGACGUUACCGACAGAAUAAGCACCGGCUAACUUCGUGCCAGCCGCCGCCGUAACAC
rnacentral:rRNA from 1 species